ensembl:rRNA 5S_rRNA 5S ribosomal RNA
CCCUGUAGCCAUACCACCUUGGGCUUUGAUCUUUUCAGAUCUCUCAGACUGAGCAGGAUCAUUCCUUGUCUGCUCUUGGCUGGGUGUCCUCCAGGGAAAACACAGGUGCUGUAGGAA